ACCAGUGGACCAGUUUGCCUCCAGAAGUUAUGGCUACUCCAUCACUGGAGGCUUUUAAGAAGAGACUUGGACAGCUCCUUGUCUGAAAUGCUACAGGGUCUCCUGCUUGGGCAGGGGGUUGGAC